rnacentral:rRNA from 1 species
GGCGGACGGGUGAGUAACACGUGGGCAACCUGCCUGUAAGACUGGGAUAACUCCGGGAAACCGGAGCUAAUACCGGAUAACAUUUUCUCUUGCAUAAGAGAAAAUUGAAAGAUGGUUUCGGCUAUCACUUACAGAUGGGCCCGCGGUGCAUUAGCUAGUUGGUGAGGUAACGGCUCACCAAGGCAACGAUGCAUAGCCGACCUGAGAGGGUGAUCGGCCACACAGGGACAGAGACACGGCCCAGACUCCUACGGGAGGCAGCAGUAGGGAAACUUCCGCAAUGGACGAAAGUCUGACGGACCAACGCCGCGUGAGUGAUGAAGGCUUUCGGGUCGUAAAACUCUGUUGUUAGGGAAGAACAAGUACAAGAGUAACUGCUUGUACCUUGACGGUACCUAACAAGAAAGCCACGGCUAACUACGUGCCAGCAGCCGCGGUAAUAAGUAGGUGGCAAGCGUUAUCCGGAAACAUUGGGCGUAAAGCGCGCGCAGGCGGUUUCUUAAGUCUGAUGUGAAAGCCCACGGAUCAACCGUGCAGGGUCAUUGGAAACUGGGGAACUUGAGUGCAGAAGAGAAAAGCGGAAUUCCACGUGUAGCGGUGAUAUGCGUAGAGAUGUGGAGGAACACCAGUGGCGACGGCGGCUUU